GCCACUGUGGCAUAGUGGUUUGAGCACUGGACUAUGACUCCAGAAGCCAAGUUCCAUUCCUAGCUGAGCCA